AUGAUUCAGUCUCCAGAUUCCCUUACUGUGUCUCCAGGAGAAAAUGUUGUGAUAACGUGUAAUGCCAAGACCUACAGUGGUUGGGGUGUUUAUUGGUAUCAAGAAAAACCAGGAAAAUCCCCCAAACUUCUGAUCAAAGCAGGAGAUGAAAGAUACACAGGGACCCCUGAGAGGUUCAGCGGCAGUAAGUCUGGAAGUGUUUACACAUUUACAAUCAGCGGAGUGCAAGUAGAAGAUGCAGCAGAUUAUUACUGUUUAUACUGGCAGCUUCCCUCUCACAGUGAUACAGAGCUGUACAAAAACCUUCCUCUUCUGGUCUUGCCUAUAAAGUAA